CCUACGGGGGGCUGCAGUCGAGAAUUUUUGGCAAUGGGCGAAAGCCUGACCAAGCGAUGCCGCGUGCGGGAUGAAGGCCUUCGGGUUGUAAACCGCUGUCAGUGGGGAGGAAAGCUUUGCGAAGAGCAAGGCUUGACCUAUCUGCAGAGGAAGUGUGGGCUAAGUUCGUGCCAGCAGCCGCGGUAAGACGAACCACACGAAGGUUAUUCGGAAUUACUGGGCUUAGUGGGUGCGUAAGCAACGCGGGAGUGAAAUCCCUCGGCUCAACCGAGGAACUGCGCCCAAAACUACUGUGCUUGAGGAAGAUAGAGGUAAGCGGAACUUACGGUGGAGCGGUGAAAUGCGUUGAUAUCGUAAGGAACACCUGUGGCGAAAGCGGCUUACUGGGUCUUUUCUGACGCUGAUGCACGAAAGCCAGGGGAGCAAACGGGAUUAGAUACCCCAGUAGUC
rnacentral:rRNA from 1 species